UACGUAGGGUGCAAGCGUUAUCCGGAAUUAUUGGGCGUAAAGAGCUCGUAGGCGGUUUGUCGCGUCUGCUGUGAAAACUGGAGGCUCAACCUCCAGCCUGCAGUGGGUACGGGCAGACUAGAGUGCGGUAGGGGAGAUUGGAAUUCCUGGUGUAGCGGUGGAAUGCGCAGAUAUCAGGAGGAACACCGAUGGCGAAGGCAGAUCUCUGGGCCGUAACUGGACGCUGAGGAGCGAAAGCCAG
rnacentral:rRNA from 1 species